GGUUAAACACAAAGGUCUUAAAUAGGUUUUUCAGGUAUAUCUUUGAAGGGAUCCUUUUCAUAAUGUCAGAAUAGUAAUCUGAGCCUGUCAGUGGCAAAAACAGCACUUUAAGUGGACAAAAUUAAUGAUGCACAUUUACCCCAUAGGAUUACAUUGCAGCCUGGUCCAGUUUGCAGCUGAGGGU